rnacentral:rRNA from 1 species
AACUCUGACACAGGUGCUGCAUGGCUGUCGUCAGCUCGUGUCGUGAGAUGUUGGGUUAAGUCCCGUAACGAGCGCAACCCUUGUCCUUAGUUACCAGCACGUUAUGGUGGGCACUCUAAGGAGACUGCCGGUGACAAACCGGAGGAAGGUGGGGGAUGACGUCAAGUCAUCAUCGGCCCUUACGGCCUGGGCUACACACGUGCUACAAUGGUCGGUACAAAGGGUUGCCAAGCCGCGAGGUGGAGCUAAUCCCAUAAAACCGAUCGUAGUCCGGAUCGCAGUCUGCAACUCGACUGCGUGAAGUCGGAAUCGCUAGUAAUCGUGAAUCAGAAUGUCACGGUGAAUACGUUCCCGGGCCUU